AAUGUUCAGAAAUAUUAGAGGAGCAGUGUGAGUAAGCUGAGUCAACAUAUUAUAACGAUGAUUACAAUGACCAAAGCUGUAGUGCUUGCUGUUUUAUGUGGUGCAUGUUUUGGAAUGGCAAGUUAUGAGGUAAAUGAAGACUUCGAUAUGGAAGCAUUGGUAAACGAUAAGGCCAGGUUUAACGUCGCAGUCGAAUGUUUCUUGGAUAAAGCACCGUGUGGUGAAUUUCAGAGUUAUAAAGAUAUAGCACAAGAUACAAUAGAAGCAGCAUGUGAUCAAUGCAGCCCUAAACUGAAGCACUUGGCCCAUACGUUUAUGCAGGGUCUGGAGAAA